GAUUGAGAGAAUGUACAUCUAUUAGCAAACUUUUGUAAGGUUGGGCUGUGUGCAAUAAUAAUUAUGCUAAUUGUUGCUAUUGAACACUGGCCAGACAGUCGAGUUGCUGCCAAAUAAAUAUGUCUUGCUUCUAAAUGAAGUGAGAAUAUGCAAAUUAAGUCUAGUUAUUGGAGAGUGUCUGGCGGACCCUUCAAUACUUAAGUUGGUCGGAGUAGAAGGAACAGUAGAAAGAACCAAA
rnacentral:lncRNA from 1 species